GCAUGCACACACCGGUAUAAUUUUUUUUUAUCACGACCAGUCAAGUGACCUUAUUAGCAGGAUCACAUUAAAUGUACAACCUACAGAUAAACAAUAAUAUGGCAAGAACAGCAGUGAAUAAUUGCACAUCAUUAUACAUAGGUUUCAAAUGACAUUGUUUGAGUUACUUCCCUUAAAAGCCAUUUCAGAGGGAUAAAUGGUAAAUUUUCUUAUUUUUUAUUAACCUAAUUGGCCAUUUCAGAAUUUAAUGCAUUCUCGGUAAUAUUUCAAAAACAUACAUCAAAACGUUGUUGUUGGUUUAAGGUGGUACCCAACACUUUCACUAAAAUUAAUUUGGCUCGUUUAAUUUUCAUAAAAUUUUGUCAAAUUAUUUACUUUGACACUUUAACAAAAAUAUAAAAAUUUAAAAAAUUUUGAACCAACCGUUUUGCCAGAAAAAUUACACUGGUUAUAUAGCAAUUUGACAAACACCAAUAUUGAUCAUUGAGAAGCUUAAUAUUCCUUUUACACACAACGUAAUUAAAACGUUUAGCUGAUUUUACAGAGUUAUCUCCCUGUAGUGUUAGGUACCAC
rnacentral:lncRNA from 1 species